GACGAACGCUGGCGGCGUGCCUAAUACAUGCAAGUAGAACGCACAGUUUAUACCGUAGCUUGCUACACCAUAGACUGUGAGUUGCGAACGGGUGAGUAACGCGUAGGUAACCUGCCUGGUAGCGGGGGAUAACUAUUGGAAACGAUAGCUAAUACCGCAUAAUAUUAAUUAUUGCAUGAUAAUUGAUUGAAAGAUGCAACUGCAUCACUACCAGAUGGACCUGCGUUGUAUUAGCUAGUAGGUGAGGUAACGGCUCACCUAGGCGACGAUACAUAGCCGACCUGAGAGGGUGAUCGGCCACACUGGGACUGCGACACGGCCCAGACUCCUACGGGAGGCAGCAGUAGGGAAUCUUCGGCAAUGGACGAAAGUCUGACCGAGCAACGCCGCGUGAGUGAAGAAGGUUUUCGGAUCGUAAAGCUCUGUUGUAAGAGAAGAACGGGUGUGAGAGUGGAAAGUUCACACUGUGACGGUAUCUUACCAGAAAGAGACGGCUAACUACGUG
rnacentral:rRNA from 1 species